UCAGUUCGGAUCGCAGGCUGCAACCCGCCUGCGUGAAGUCGGAAUCGCUAGUAAUCGCGGAUCAGCAUGCCGCGGUGAAUACGUUCCCGGGCCUUGUACACACCGCCCGUCACACCAUGAGAGUCGGGAACACCCGAAGUCCGUAGCCUAACCAAUCUGGAGGGCGCGGCCGAAGGUGGGUUCGAUAAUUGGGGUGAAGUCGUAACAAGGUAGC
rnacentral:rRNA from 1 species